rnacentral:rRNA from 1 species
AGUAGGGCGGGACACGUGUUAUCCUGUCUGAAUAUGGGGGGACCAUCCUCCAAGGCUAAAUACUCCUGACUGACCGAUAGUGAACCAGUACCGUGAGGGAAAGGCGAAAAGAACCCCUGUGAGGGGAGUGAAAUAGAACCUGAAACCGUGUACGUACAAGCAGUAGGAGCACCUUCGUGGUGUGACUGCGUACCUUUUGUAUAAUGGGUCAGCGACUUAUAUUCAGUGGCAAGGUUAACCAUCUAGGGGAGCCGUAGGGAAACCGAGUCUUAACUGGGCGCCAUAGUCUCUGGAUAUAGACCCGAAACCGAGUGAUCUAGCCAUGGGCAGGUUGAAGGUUGAGUAACAUCAACUGGAGGACCGAACCGACUAAUGUUGAAAAAUUAGCGGAUGACUUGUGGCUAGGGGUGAAAGGCCAAUCAAACUCGGAGAUAGCUGGUUCUCCCCGAAAGCUAUUUAGGUAGCGCCUCGGACGAAUACUACUGGGGGUAGAGCACUGUUAAGGCUAGGGGGUCAUCCCGACUUACCAACCCUUUGCAAACUCCGAAUACCAGUAAGUACUAUCCGGGAGACACACGGCGGGUGCUAACGUCCGUCGUGGAGAGGGAAACAACCCAGACCGCCAGCUAAGGUCCCAAAUUACAGCUAAGUGGGAAACGAUGUGGGAAGGCUUAGACAGCUAGGAUGUUGGCUUAGAAGCAGCCAUCAUUUAAAGAAAGCGUAAUAGCUCACUAGUCGAGUCGGCCUGCGCGGAAGAUGUAACGGGGCUAAGUUGUAAACCGAAGCUGCGGCAAUAUCUUUUAGAUAUUGGGUAGGGGAGCGUUCUGUAAGCCGUUGAAGGUGUGUUGUAAAGCAUGCUGGAGGUAUCAGAAGUGCGAAUGCUGACAUGAGUAACGACAAGGGGGGUGAAAAACCUCCCCGCCGGAAGACCAAGGGUUCCUGUCCAACGUUAAUCGGGGCAGGGUAAGUCGACCCCUAAGGCGAGGCCGAAAGGCGUAGUCGAUGGGAAACGGGUUAAUAUUCCCGUACUUCUUACAAUUGCGAUGGGGGGACGGAGAAGGCUAGGUGGGCCUGGCGACGGUUGUCCAGGUUCAAGUGCGUAGGCUGAGUGUUUAGGUAAAUCCGGACACUCUUAAGGCUGAGACACGACGUCGAGCUACUACGGUAGUGAAGUCAUUGAUGCCAUGCUUCCAGGAAAAGCCUCUAAGCUUCAGAUUGUAAGGAAUCGUACCCCAAACCGACACAGGUGGUCGGGUAGAGAAUACCAAGGCGCUUGAGAGAACUCGGGUGAAGGAACUAGGCAAAAUGGUACCGUAACUU